UACAGAGGGUUCAAGCGUUGUUCGGAUUCAUUGGGCGUAAAGGGUGCGUAGGCGGCGCGGUAAGUCGGGUGUGAAAUCUUGGAGCUUAACUCCGAAACUGCAUUCGAUACUGCCGUGCUUGAGGACUGGAGAGGAGACUGGAAUUUACGGUGUAGCGGUGAAAUGCGUAGAUAUCGUAAGGAAUACCAGUGGCGAAGGCGGGUCUCUGGACAGUUCCUGACGCUGAGGCACGAAGGCCAGGGGAGCAAACGGG
rnacentral:rRNA from 1 species